GUCAUACUACCCUGAAGAUGCCUGAUCUCCUUUGAUCUUGAAAGCUAAGCAGGGUCAAGCCUGGUUAGUACUUAGAUGGUAGAAAAACUGGGUCUUACCUGACC
rnacentral:rRNA from 1 species